rnacentral:rRNA from 1 species
CUCCCGCCGGCGACCGGCGCACGGGUGAGUAACACGUAUGAAACCUGCCCGUAGCAGGGGGAUAAGCGGAAGAAAUUCCGUCUAAUACCGCGUAACAACCCGAGGAGGCAUCUCCUCGGGUUUAAGGGAAGCGAUUCCGGCUACGGAUGGUCAUGCGUCGCAUUAGCUAGUUGGCGGGGUAACGGCCCACCAAGGCGACGAUGCGUAGGGGUUCUGAGAGGAAGGUCCCCCACACUGGUACUGAGACACGGACCAGACUCCUACGGGAGGCAGCAG